UCCAACUGUAGACCGGACAGCUGAAGAAGCUAGGUCGACGCGAACAACCAAUUUUUCCCCCGUGCCCAGCGUAAAUCAAUGGCCGGGGAGGCCUUCUAACACAGACGAUAACUCACAACCCGUGUUAACAACGUUAACUCGCCGAGACUUGUCUCUCUCGCCGAUGAAAGCCAGAUCUCGCGGGCUACUGUCGGCCGCGUGUCUUACGAAGCGAGCACCUACCUUGAUAGUGAACAUAAUCUCUCUGUCACACGGACACCGGCGAUGAAGCGGUUAGGAUGCAGAUGGGUUGGUACUUGUGCUUCUUCGUCAGAUGCUUCGGCUCUUUAUAUACACGACCGUAGCAACGUGGUACAGUGAAAGGGGUCAUCCCUGCCCUCUUCACAAUGCACUUCUUCUGACCAGUGCAUCUUCGGAAAAAUGCGGUUGGAUGAAUCGAGAAUAGAGAUGUCAGACGGGAAAUGGACACUGUCAGACCCACAUUUUUGACAGAACGUAUUGCUGGAUCGCCACCCGGAAAUGCCACCAGCGUCCACCAAACCCAGGCUUGAUAGGGGACCAAGGCUAGAAUUCUGUGUGGGUGACUUCCGCUUAUGGAGUGGAAGAUGUUUUUAAAACACCUUUCAGGUGAAAUUAAAAGAGAUAAAACACCAAAUCGAUUAGUAUACCGAAGUUUCACUUAUAUAACCACUCGUGCCAUCGGCGAAAUGCGUCUCAUAGAAAGCGUUAACAGUUACUUCUUCGACUAAAAAAUUUGACUGCAGUUUUAUGCUAUAAUUUAUACGGAAAACUCUAGUUUCCAUAUGACAUAACAACUGCAUUACAUUCAAAUGAAUAAGUUCAUAGAGGCCAAAGUUCCGCUCAAGAUUUCAAUGACUCAUUGCCACAUGCUACAGAAAACUCAAGAUGACUUAAUUAUUAAAUAACUUCCAACUUAAAAUUCCUGAAAGUUCCUUGCUGAAAAUGUUUGAAAGGAACUUAUGUUCAGUUUGACGCAUAAAAUCCACAGUUGACACUGUUUACUGGUGGAAUCAAACAAAAUCAAACCUCGAUGUAAAUUGACUGUAACUCGCCGCAAUAUUAGAACAUCAGCGUUCUAAUGCAUCAAUCUUCUGUUUAACCCUGACAUUUGCCGCGCGAGUUCCAAUCGACGAUAAUGCAUCAAGUCUCGUGGAAUGGAAUUUUCAUGAAUCCACAAAUAAUUUGAAUGUCACAUCUGUGAACUCGAAUUACCGAAAGAAUAAAGAGCGAAUUGGUACAAAUGAUACAGCAGUAAUUUUAUUCAAAUGCGAGGGUGACGAAACAAUUCCGAUUUAUUUAUUAAAAUUAAUUAUAUAUAAUAAGUAAUCUAACAAAAUAAUUAUAAAUUAAUAAUAUAAUAUAAAUCGACAUAACAAAAUUAAUUAAUCAGAUAUAAUCAACAUAUUACCACAUUAAGUACUAUUUCGUAACUAUUUAAACUCUUAUAUUCAUCACAUUUAAUUAAUGUAAAGUAAUUAAAAAUAGCCUGGUACUAGAUUUUAAUUUCUGAGUUAUAAUCAACGCUAAGCUUGAACUGUUAUAUUCGACAUUCUUAUUAUAAUAGUCAUUGCAGUUUCAAAAGCAAAUUCUUCUUUCAUAAGUCUAUAAGUUUACGUAUUCUAUGCAAUGAUAUUUUUGUUUGCCGAUUGCAGCCUUGAAUAAUAGAAGUAAUCUGUAUGAUGCUUCUUUGGUUUCUCGUUACGUGAUCAGCACGGGAGCCUUAUGAUUCAUUGUUGCAGUUGUGAAAACACCGAGAGUCGAUUGUAAGACGAAUCUUCUCCAGGAAGACCCAACAAAUUUUUAUUAACCUCCGUUCCAAUUAGUAACGCGGAUCAGAUUCGCAUCAACGCGAACCACAUAACAAGGAAAAGCUAUAUUGUUCGGUUGUAACGAAAAUUAAUGCUUCGACCAUCGAUUCGCGACUUAAUUAUUGGAACGAGCAGAAAAGCGUGUAUAAUAAAUGGACCUGAUACGUCGAAAUGUAUGUACAAUGAACAUGUGAUACGAUCGUUUGCGUUAAUUUCAUACUGGGUCGAGUUAAAUCGUGUCUUUACAAUUAGUACAGAUUUAGUUACAUUAUUAAUAUUGAAAUUUAUGUCAUUCGUUUGGACAAUGCAUUUAAUCUAUAAUGUUACCGUGUUACAGAUAACGUUCUCUAUCAAUCGAUAUAUACAAUAUCAUGUAUUAAUAACAUGUUUUCGUUUAAAUGUAUAAAAUGAUUCAACGAGUGAAAUUUUUUUUUAAAGUAUAAAUUUUAUUUUGAAAUGGAACUAGAAUUGUUGAGCGACUGUUAACAUUUUUGGGAAAAAAAAUACGUAUAGAAAUUUAUCACUGUAUAUUUAAAAAACAACCUUUGGAUCUAUUAAUUAUUUAAAGUUUCUAUUACUUUUGUAAUUUAAUGCAUUUCAGUAAAAAUUAAUUUAACGGAUAAUGUUUUUUUAAAAGCGUUUCCUCUUGAGUCACUCCACCAGAAAGACUUAUUAAGUAACUGUGUUAAAGUUCAGGAAAACGAUGAAUAAUACAGCAAACAAUGGAGAAAGCAUUUAAAAAUACGUUUUCAUAAUCAACGGAAUUAACAUCAAUCCGAACUUAAGUAACUUCAGAUGUAUAGCUAAUAACUGUUAAUGAGUUUGCAUCAUUAAUUCACAACCAUCCCUAAAUGGUUGGAAAAUCAAUUCUCGUGACAAAUACACAUUUCACUUUUAACUAUUAUAGUAUCUGUAUCUUAUCUCAUCGUGUUACAUGUGUAUCUCUUACCUAUGUACACGCAUCCUCAGAUGAUUAUAAUUAACAUAGACAGACGUAGAUACUAUAACUACAUCGAACGGAAACAUAUUAAAACACAUUUAAAAUACCUUAAA